AAUUUAUUUGCUAAAUAUUAAUUUAGUAAUCAAUAUAUAAUAUUAUUAAAUGAUAUGAAACGCUAGAGUAACUCAUUUUAAAUAUGUCUUUAUUUUAAAUAUGUCUUUAAUUUUAUUUCAUACAAGUCGCCACUGUUUUCCAGUCGCAAGUAUGUGAAUUUUCGCGGUGUUUUACAAGAUGGUUAUGCAAGAUCCAUUACUAAUGAUUUAUUUAAAAUAGUUCUAAAAACAUAUUUGCAUCUCGACAAUAGACAAGGGAACGAACGAUAAUAUGUGUAAUUGCAGUAUCGUUGUUAAUAGUACAUAACAAUACUGUGAGCUUUAAUUACACGUUUGUAAGCGUUUUAUAAUCGGCGAUCUCUUACGAACAAUUAUUUUAUUUUUUCCAUUUCGAGGAUGAAGAUUCACCAAUGGAAAGAAACGAAAUUUCGAUAUCAUCUUUUUCUUUUCUAAACCGUAGAAAAAAAGAGAAGAAGGAAUAACGAAUUUAACAAUUAAACAAUGGUAAAUACUUUUGACAUCCGAUAUGUCGAAUUAUUAAUCGAAGAAAACACGCACCAGUUUCAUGAUCGGUUAUUUUGGGAGGCAGGCUUCCAAAAUUCUUCAGUAAAGAUGUCGAAAUCAUCGAGUGGCAUUGGCCGGUUGGCGGUGGUAGAACGAUGACCGACAAAGGAAGAGGCGGUGAAUGUCAGGCAAGAAUUCAAGGAAGAGCGGCUCAGGAGCGAAAA